CCUACGGGCGGCUGCAGUCGAGAAUCAUUCACAAUGGGGGAAACCCUGAUGGUGCGACGCCGCGUGGGGGAAUGAAGGUCUUCGGAUUGUAAACCCCUUUCAUGUGGGAGCAAAUUAAAAAGAUAGUACCACAAGAGGAAGAGACGGCUAACUCUGUGCCAGCAGCCGCGGUAAUACAGAGGUCUCAAGCGUUGUUCGGAAUCACUGGGCGUAAAGCGUGCGUAGGCUGUUUCGUAAGUCGUGUGUGAAAGGCGCGGGCUCAACCCGCGGACGGCACAUGAUACUGCGAGACUAGAGUAAGGGAGGGGGAAGCGGAAUUCUCGGUGUAGCAGUGAAAUGCGUAGAUAUCGAGAAGAACACUCGUGGCGAAGGCGGGUUCCUGGACAUUAACUGACGCUGAGGCACGAAGGCCAGGGGAGCGAAAGGGAUUAGAUACCCCAGUAGUC
rnacentral:rRNA from 1 species